GAACCUUUGUUUGCUAUUUGAUUUCUGAGUUAUUUCAUGAAGCAUUCAGCUCCACAAAGUUUACUUACAUCUUUAACAUAGCUAACCAACUUAUUUUUUAGCAAGGCUGAGGCUUGUCUCCAAUGGCUACCCAAUACAAGAAGGCAGCUCAGAUCGCGGGAAAGAAGAAACAAGGAGGGCCAACUCGCCGCUGGAUCCCCAACAAUGACCUGAAAUCGCAAGCUCGUCGUAAUAACAGGAUCCGAUCUCCGUCUCCACCAUUCUUCAUACACAACGAGACAACGCUGCCGUGCCCUCUGGCCGUCAUCAAGCACACCAACAAAAACUGGCGCA